rnacentral:tRNA from 2 species
CAAGACGUAGCUUAAACAAAAGCAUUCAGCUUACACCUGAAAAAUGUCUGUUAAUACCAGAUCGUCUUGA